rnacentral:rRNA from 1 species
UACGAAGGGGGCUAGCGUUGUUCGGAAUUACUGGGCGUAAAGGGCGCGCAGGCGGCCGCUCAAGUCGGAGGUGAAAGCCCAGGGCUCAACCCUGGAAUUGCCUUCGAUACUGUUUGGCUCGAGACCGGAAGAGGUAAGUGGAACUGCGAGUGUAGAGGUGAAAUUCGUAGAUAUUCGCAAGAACACCAGUGGCGAAGGCGGCUUACUGGUCCGGUUCUGACGCUGAGGCGCGAAAGCGUGGGGAGCAAACAGG